rnacentral:rRNA from 1 species
AAUGAACGCUGGCGGCAGGCCUAACACAUGCAAGUCGAACGAAACCUUCGGGUUUAGUGGCGGACGGGUGAGUAACGCGUGGGAACAUACCCUUUGGUACAGAAUAGCCUCGGGAAACUGGGAGUAAUACCGUAUGUGCCCUUCGGGGGAAAGAUUUAUCGCCAAAGGAUUGGCCCGCGUUGGAUUAGGUAGUUGGUGGGGUAAUGGCCUACCAAGCCGACGAUCCAUAGCUGGUUUGAGAGGAUGAUCAGCCACACUGGGACUGAGACACGGCCCAGACUCCUACGGGAGGCAGCAGUGGGGAAUCUUAGACAAUGGGCGCAAGCCUGAUCUAGCCAUGCCGCGUGAUCGAUGAAGGCCUUAGGGUUGUAAAGAUCUUUCAGAUGGGAAGAUAAUGACGGUACCAUCAGAAGAAGCCCCGGCUAACUCCGUGCCAGCAGCCGCGGUAAAGUCGUACGA